CACCGGGGCCGCGGCUCGCUGGAGGAGGAUGGCGGAGCGCCGGUUCGUCUGAUCAGCUGCUGCUCAGGGGCCAUGAUGGGAACAAUACGAAAUGAUGUCUGAAUCGCAGGUCACGUGACGAGCCCAAAGGACUGGAUGGAUUAGUUUGAAGGCAAACACCUGACACAUGAUCAGACCUGGGAUAGGAAUGACUUCUGGACCUUUUGAAGAAAUCCCAGCUCGUCUAAAUGGCCGAAGGGUGACUCAUGUCUUGGAGAGCUCAUCUGAAGAGAGUUACACGAUUCACUGGAAUGAUCAAGUCCCAGCCUGAGUCACAACCACAGACCCCACUGAACAAACACAACAUGACACCAGGGCCUAUUCAUCACCAUAAAUACCCUUUUCAUUUGAUUUUUUUCUGGCUGGUGUUGGUAUAUUGUCAAAUGCAGGGGGCCUCAGCAAAUUUCCAAAUGGGGGUGGAUGAUUUUUGUCAAAAUAAAAUAGUAUUAUUUGUAUUUAUU